rnacentral:rRNA from 1 species
UACGUAGGGGGCAAGAGUUGUCCGGAAUCAUUGGGCGUAAAGCGCGCGUAGGCGGCCCGGUAAGUCCGUUGUGAAAGUCAAAGGCUCAACCUUUGAACGCCGAUGGAUACUGCCGGGCUAGAGUCCGGAAGAGGCGAGUGGAAUUCCUGGUGUAGCGGUGGAAUGCGCAGAUAUCAGGAGGAACACCAAUAGCGAAGGCAGCUCGCUGGGACGGUACUGACGCUGAGGCGCGAAAGCGUGGGGAGCGAACAGG